rnacentral:rRNA from 1 species
GUGGGGAAUAUUGGGCAAUGGGGGAAACCCUGACCCAGCAACGCCGCGUGAAGGAAGAAGGUUUUCGGAUCGUAAACUUCUAUCCUUGGUGAAGAUAAUGACGGUAGCCAAGAAGGAAGCCCCGGCUAACUACGUGCCAGCAGCCGCGGUAAUACGUAGGGGGCAAGCGUUGUCUGGAAUGAUUGGGCGUAAAGGGCGCGUAGGCGGCCUGGUAAGUCUGGAGUGAAAGUCCUGCUUUUAAGGUGGGAAUUGCUUUGGAUACUGUCGGGCUUGAGUGCAGGAGAGGUAAGCGGAAUUCCCGGUGUAGCGGUGAAAUGCGUAGAGAUCGGGAGGAACACCAGUGGCGAAGGCGGCUUACUGGACUGUAACUGACGCUGAGGCGCGAAAGUGUGGGGAGCAAACAGGAUUAGAAACCCUUGUAGUCC